rnacentral:rRNA from 1 species
UAAGGAAUAUUGGACAAUGGUCGGAAGACUGAUCCAGCCAUGCCGCGUGAAGGAAGAAGGCGCUCAGCGUUGUAAACUUCUUUUGGACGGGAAUAACAACUUCCACGUGUUGGGAGCCUGAAGGUACCGUCAGAAUAAGCACCGGCUAACUCCGUGCCAGCAGCCGCGGUAAUACGGAGGGUGCGAGCGUUAUCCGGAAUCACUGGGUUUAAAGGGUGCGUAGGCGGUUUGAUAAGUCAGUUGUGAAAUACCCCGGCUUAACCGGCGGUCGUGCGAUUGAUACUGUUGAACUUGAAUCGGGUUGAGGCAGGCGGAAUGUGGCAUGUAGCGGUGAAAUGCAUAGAUAUGCCAUAGAACACCAAUUGCGAAGGCAGCUUGCUGGGCCCGUAUUGACGCUGAGGCACGAAAGCGUGGGGAGCAAACAGG